UACGUAGGGGGCAAGCGUUGUCCGGAUUUAUUGGGCGUAAAGAGCGUGUAGGCGGCCUUACAGGUCAGCUGUGAAAACUCGAGGCUCAACCUCGAGACGUCGGUUGAAACCGUAUGGCUAGAGUCCGGAAGAGGAGAGUGGAAUUCCCGGUGUAGCGGUGAAAUGCGCAGAUAUCGGGAAGAACACCCGUGGCGAAGGCGGCUCUCUGGGCCAUAACUGACGCUGAGAAGCGAAAGCAUGGGGAGCGAACAGG
rnacentral:rRNA from 1 species